UACAGAGGGUGCAAGCGUUGUUCGGAAUUACUGGGCGUAAAGCGUGCGCAGGCGGUUUGGUAAGACAGAUGUGAAAUCCCCGGGCUUAACCUGGGAAUUGCAUUUGUGACUGCCCGGCUAGAGUGUGUCAGAGGGGGGUAGAAUUCCACGUGUAGCAGUGAAAUGCGUAGAUAUGUGGAGGAAUACCGAUGGCGAAGGCAGCCCCCUGGGAUAACACUGACGCUCAUGCACGAAAGCGUGGGGAGCAAACAGG
rnacentral:rRNA from 1 species